rnacentral:rRNA from 1 species
UACGAACGGUCCAAACGUUAUUCGGAAUCACUGGGCUUAAAGCGUCCGUAGGCGGCUCGGAAAGUAGGGUGUGAAAUCCCACGGCUCAACCGUGGAAUUGCGCUCUAAACUAUCGAGCUAGAGGGAGAUAGAGGUGAGCGGAACUGAUGGUGGAGCGGUGAAAUGCGUUGAUAUCAUCAGGAACACCGGUGGCGAAGGCGGGUCUCUGGGCCGAUACUGACGCUGAGGAGCGAAAGCGUGGGGAGCGAACAGG